AUCAGACACGGUGUCAGCCGCCGCGGUAAUACGGAGGAUCCGAGCGUUAUCCGGAUUUAUUGGGUUUAAAGGGAGCGUAAGAUGGAUGUUUAAGUCAGUUGUGAAAGUUUGCGGCUCAACGUAAAAUUGCAGUUGAUACUGGAUGUCUUGAGUGCAGUUGAGGCAGGGCGGAAUUCGUGGUGUAGCGGUGAAAUGACUUAGAUAUCACGAAGAACUCCGAUUGCGAAGGCAGCCUGCUAAGCUGCAACUGACAUUGAGG
rnacentral:rRNA from 1 species